AAGUCUUGACUACACCAGAUCGGGCCAGAAAUGGUUUCAACUCUUUGGACACUGGUGAACAGGUGGUGCAUGGUUGUCGUCAGCUCGUGUCGUGAGAUGUUGGGUUAAGUCCCGCAACGAGCGCAACCCUCGUUCUAUGUUGCCAGCACGUAAUGGUGGGAACUCAUGGGAUACUGCCGGGGUCAACUCGGAGGAAGGUGGGGAUGACGUCAAAUCAUCAUGCCCCUUAUGUCUUGGGCUUCACGCAUGCUACAAUGGCCGGUACAAAGGGCUGCAAUACCGUGAGGUGGAGCGAAUCCCAAAAAGCCGGUCCCAGUUCGGAUUGAGGUCUGCAACUCGACCUCAUGAAGUCGGAGUCGCUAGUAAUCGCAGAUCAGCAACGCUGCGGUGAAUACGUUCCCGGGUCUUGGUACACACCG
rnacentral:rRNA from 1 species